AGCCCUUCUGGCGUAGUUAGUUAUCGCAUCCCCCUACAUGUCACAACAUAUUUCGGAGAAGGUCUUGGGUCCGAUCCCCAAGGAUGCUA
rnacentral:tRNA from 1 species